rnacentral:rRNA from 1 species
UGGGGAAUAUUGGACAAUGGGCGAAAGCCUGAUCCAGCCAUGCCGCGUGUGUGAAGAAGGUCUUCGGAUUGUAAAGCACUUUAAGUUGGGAGGAAGGGCAUUAACCUAAUACGUUAGUGUUUUGACGUUACCGACAGAAUAAGCACCGGCUAACUCUGUGCCAGCAGCCGCGGUAAUACAGAGGGUGCAAGCGUUAAUCGGAAUUACUGGGCGUAAAGCGCGCGUAGGUGGGUUGUUAAGUGGGAUGUGAAAUCCCCGGGCUCAACCUGGGAACUGCAUUCAAAACUGACUGACUAGAGUAUGGUAGAGGGUGGUGGAAUUUCCUGUGUAGCGGUGAAAUGCGUAGAUAUAGGAAGGAACACCAGUGGCGAAGGCGACCACCUGGACUAAUACUGACACUGAGGUGCGAAAGCGUGGGGAGCAAACA